GAUUCCCAUUCGAUAUCUUUAGGUUUGUAAGUACUUUCUAUGUGGAUUUUGCCCCCAUGAGCUCUUCACCAAUACACGUGCUGAUCUUGGUCCUUGUACUAAAAUUCAUGAUGAAGCACUCAGAAAAGAAUAUCAAAACAGUCCAAGGUUUGAAAAAUGUGGCUAUGAAGAUGACUUCAUCCGUUUUCUACAAAAUUUGAUUACUGAUGUGGAAAAACGUAUUAGACGUGGUCAUCAAAGGCUGGCUUUAAAUAGUCAGCAAGGAAGUUUGAAUGGCAGUGUCAGCAAUCAAAAUGAGGAAAAAAUCACUUUACUAACUGAACGGAUCAAUGACCUUGUUGAACAAGCUGAGGAAUUGGGGUGUGAAGGAAAAGUAGAAGAGGCUCAAGGGGUCAUGAAACUAGCAGAUCAGUUGAAAGAAGAAAGACGCCAACUUGAAACUGUAAGUAUUUGUUGUUUUUUUUUGGUCACU
rnacentral:sRNA from 1 species